rnacentral:rRNA from 1 species
ACAACCAGGAUGUUGGCUUAGAAGCAGCCACUCAUUAAAAGAGUGCGUAAUAGCUCACUGGUCGAGUGACCCUGCGCCGAAAAUUUAACGGGGCUAAAUCGUACACCGAAGCUUGGGAUGCAGCAAUGCAUGGUAGGAGAGCGUCGUGUAAGGGGUGAAGUCAGAGCGGAAGCGCUGGUGGACUUUACACGAGUGAGAAUGCCGGAAUGAGUAGCGAGAAAUAUGUGAGAAUCAUAUUGGCCGAAAGUCUAAGGUUUUUGGAGGAAGGUUCGUCCGCUCCAAGUUAGCCGGGAGCUAAGGUGAGGCCGAAAGGCGUAGCCGAUGCACAUACGGUGGAAAUUCCGUAGCCGCCAAAAGAUUUAAGCAAGAGGACACCUUGAAAUGGCAUGACCCGGGCGAUGGUCGCCCCGGGCGAAAGGGACUGAAAUUAGAGUAGGGAAGCAUGCUUGGACGAGGGCGAGAAAAGUCUUGUGUAUAUCUUCGGCGCCCGUACCGCAAACCGACACAGGUAGAUAGGAAGAGGAUUCUAAGGCCAACGGGAGAAGGGUAGUUAAGGAACUCGGCAAAUUGACCCCGUAACUUCGGAAUAAGGGGUGCCACAGCGAUGUGGCCGCAGAGAAUAGGCCCAGGCGACUGUUUAUCAAAAACACAGGUCUCUGCUAAAUCGAAAGAUGACGUAUAGGGGCUGACACCUGCCCGGUGCUGGAAGGUUAAGAGGAGAUGUGCAAGCAUUGAAUUGAAGCCCCAGUAAACGGCGGCCGUAACAAUAACGGUCCUAAGGUAGCGAAAUUCCUUGUCGGGUAAGUUCCGACCCGCACGAAUGGUGUAACGAUCUGGGCACUGUCUCAACUACCCGCCCGGCGAAAUUGUAGUACCGGUGAAGAUGCCGGUUACCCGCGACAAGACGGAAAGACCCCAUGGAGCUUUACUGCAGCUUAAUAUUGGGUUUCGAUAAUCUAUGUACAGGAUAGGCGGGAGACUAGGAAACCGUGGCGCCAGCCAUGGCGGAGUCGCCCUUGGGAUACCGCUCUUAGGUUGUUGGAAUUCUAACCUGCGGCCGUGAAUCCGGCCGGGGGACAUUGUUAGGUGGGCAGUUUGACUGGGGCGGUCGCCUCCAAAAAGGUAACGGAGGCGCUCAAAGGUUGGCUCAGCAUGGUUGGAAACCAUGCCUUAGAGUGUAAACGCGUAAGCCAGCCUAACUGCGAGGAUGACGGUCCGAGCAGUA